AGUGAACGCUGGCGGUAGGCCUAACACAUGCAAGUCGAACGGCAGCACAGUAAGAGCUUGCUCUUACGGGUGGCGAGUGGCGGACGGGUGAGGAAUACAUCGGAAUCUACUUUUUCGUGGGGGAUAACGUAGGGAAACUUACGCUAAUACCGCAUACGACCUACGGGUGAAAACAGGGGAUCUUCGGACCUUGCGCGAUUGAAUGAGCCGAUGUCGGAUUAGCUAGUUGGCGGGGUAAAGGCCCACCAAGGCGACGAUCCGUAGCUGGUCUGAGAGGAUGAUCAGCCACACUGGAACUGAGACACGGUCCAGACUCCUACGGGAGGCAGCAGUGGGGAAUAUUGGACAAUGGGCGAAAGCCUGAUCCAGCCAUGCCGCGUGGGUGAAGAAGGCCUUCGGGUUGUAAAGCCCUUUUGUUGGGAAAGAAAAGCAGCAGGUUAAUACCCCGCUGUUCUGACGGUACCCAAAGAAUAAGCACCGGCUAACUUCGUG
rnacentral:rRNA from 1 species